CGAAGACUGAGCCCAGCCGCGCACUCGCACGCUCCCUCGGCGCCUCCUCCGUGCGAUCCUAAUGAAAACUCCCAAGCGCAGGAAAACGAGGACCACGUGUCCACGGCCUGUUGACGGGAGCGGGGGACGCGGGCGUCUGGGCUUGGCCGCCAGGCACAGCUGCGUGGGCAGCGGCGCCGCUAGCCCGGCCUGCCCCGUCCUGCGGCUUCUUUACACACGGUGGGUUCCAGUCUCUUCAAGUCAGGACUCUCCUCUUCCUGAGAGUCUGAUUCGAGUUCUGGGCCCUCACUUCUGAAACGUGCGGCGGACACUCACCUGCUG
rnacentral:lncRNA from 1 species